GAAAGGAGGGAGGGAGGGAUGGAGGAAAAGGUGAAACAAAAAGGACAAACCCUAGUGUCCCCAGUGAUUCUAAGGGACAAAAUCCCAGGUGUGGAAUAAAAUUCUGCCUCCUUAAGCUCGUGUUUUCCAUGCCUAGAAUUCAACUGUCACCAGAUGGAUCAGACUGAACAGGUUUCAAACCUCCAGGAGGCUCUUACCUUCUAAACAGGGACGGCUGUUUUCUAGUAAAAUCACUAAAAGGGAAGGAGAAAACUCAAAAGAGGUUCCUCCUGGCGCUCACGUCCGUGAACCCGAAUACUCUCUCAGUCCUCAAAGAGAGACCUGGAGAAGGAGACUUGCUGAAGCAAAGCCACAGGGGUCUCUGAGGUUUCCCUGGCCCCUCACCCCUGUCCUGCCUGGCUGAUGUCAGCAUCUCUCUGUGAGGUCACCACCCCCCAUCACCUUGGACCAAUAGUCUGAGGUCCUGCAAAAGGCCUUUGUGAUGUCACUGCCACACCCCUCCCUUGAUGUGCCAAUAUCCUGCCCCUGGCCAGGCCCUUUGGAGGUUUGAGCUACUCCCUGUGGACACCCCACUCAAGGAGCGUUCGUUCUAGGCAGCAAGCCGGCUA